GUGAUGCAGACCAUGGUGUAAGAGACUCAGUCCUCCACUUGCUCACACUCUUCUCCUUGAAUUAUUGCAAGAAAGAGAGAAGAAAAGAAACCAAGACCAUGUGCUUUGCCCUCUCUGGGGACAUCAGGAAAGCCAUAGUCCACUCCAAACAUCCUUGGACAAGUUGCACCCACCAGUCUGCAGUACCAUUUCAUAUUAGCCCACCUACAAAUUAGGACUGGUAUUGAACUGUGAGGCUUCAAAUUUUCAUUGUCUCCAGCCAAGAGAGAAUGUAAAAUGGCUUCAUCAGGUGCAGCAAAGAAGCACUUCAGAAUCCACCCAUAACUCAACAGACACAAAGCUCUGUGUCAGGUCUGCAAGGUGCUGUAAGAUCUCUAUGAGGAUAUGGGAACAUUUCUGGAACAACAGACUGCUUUGGACUACGAGGAUUCUUUUACUGAGGAUAACAUCAAGCAUUUUUAAGGAGAUGACACUCACUGCUAAAAUGCAAACAGCUGAGGGAGUGGCUCUAGGAUAGUGCUGCACGUGCAUUUUGUCCUUUCCAGUGAAUUAAGAAGAAAACCUACAAAAACAACAUCCUAGUUUGCUUCAAACUGCUGCAGUCUUCACUCACACCUUAUCCAUGGAAACCUCAAGUAAUCUUUGGCAAACCUGCAGCAUCCUAUCAAGACUAGCAAGGGAAAAAAAAAUGACUCACCUUGCUCUCUUCUGUCUACUCGAAUUUAAAAGAAUGAGGGCUGCCUUUUGUUAUGAAACCCAACCUUGUGGGGAUUCCAAGCUGAAGAGCACGAGUGCCUGAAAAUAUCAGAGAACUGUGCCUUAGCAAGAGAAACAGGGAGUGAGUGGAGGAGCCAUUCUGUUGAUUUUGGAAGGAGUGGCAAAAGUUCCACUGACUUCAGCUGGGCAUGAGCCAGGCCCACUGGGCAUAAAACUCCUCUUGGCAUGUCUUCCAUCUUCCACACACAAUACUGACAGGGGUCCUACAGACAAAAUUUAAUUGAUUGUGGCACUCGGACAUCACACAGAAAUUGUUUCUUUGUGGUAGAGUCUACCUGUGUGUAAAGAAUCAGCACAAACAGGACUACGAGGGACUUGGA